rnacentral:rRNA from 1 species
CUACGGGUGGCUGCAGUGAGGAAUAUUGCACAAUGGGGGGAACCCUGAUGCAGCAACGCCGCGUGGAGGAUGACGCAUGUCGGCGUGUAAACUCCUUUUAUAUGUCAAGAAAAUGACGGUAGCAUAUGAAUAAGCACCGGCUAACUCCGUGCCAGCAGCCGCGGUAAUACGGAGGGUGCAAGCGUUACUCGGAAUCACUGGGCGUAAAGGACGCGUAGGCGGGUUGGAAAGUCAGGUGUGAAAUCCUACAGCUUAACUGUAGAACUGCACUUGAAACUUCUAAUCUAGAGUAUGGGAGGGGGAGAUGGAUUUAGUGGUGUAGGGGUAAAAUCCGUAGAUAUCACUAGGAAUACCUAAAGCGAAGGCGAUCUCCUGGAACAUUACUGACGCUAAGGCGUGAAAGCGUGGGGAGCAAACAGGAUUAGAUACCCGCGUAGUC